GGGUUGUGAGGUUAAGCGACUAAGCGUACACGGUGGAUGCCCUGGCAGUCAGAGGCGAUGAAGGACGUGCUAAUCUGCGAAAAGCGUCGGUAAGGUGAUAUGAACCGUUAUAACCGGCGAUGUCCGAAUGGGGAAACCCAGUGCAAUUCGUUGCACUAUCGUUAACUGAAUACAUAGGUUAACGAGGCGAACCGGGGGAACUGAAACAUCUAAGUACCCCGAGGAAAAGAAAUCAACCGAGAUUCCCCCAGUAGCGGCGAGCGAACGGGGAGCAGCCCAGAGUCUGAAUCAGCUUGUGUGUUAGUGGAACGGUCUGGAAAGUCCGACGGUACAGGGUGAUAGUCCCGUACACCAAAAUGCACAGGCUGUGAACUCGAAGAGUAGGGCGGGACACGUGGUAUCCUGUCUGAAUAUGGGGGGACCAUCCUCCAAGGCUAAAUACUCCUGACUGACCGAUAGUGAACCAGUACCGUGAGGGAAAGGCGAAAAGAACCCCGGCGAGGGGAGUGAAAAAGAACCUGAAACCGUGUACGUACAAGCAGUGGGAGCACCUUCGGGUGUGACUGCGUACCUUUUGUAUAAUGGGUCAGCGACUUAUAUUCUGUAGCAAGGUUAACCGUAUAGGGGAGCCGCAGGGAAACCGAGUCUUAACUGGGCGUUAAGUUGCAGGGUAUAGACCCGAAACCCGGUGAUCUAGCCAUGGGCAGGUUGAAGGUUGGGUAACACUAACUGGAGGACCGAACCGACUAAUGUUGAAAAAUUAGCGGAUGACUUGUGGCUGGGGGUGAAAGGCCAAUCAAACCGGGAGAUAGCUGGUUCUCCCCGAAAGCUAUUUAGGUAGCGCCUCGUGAACUCAUCUUCGGGGGUAGAGCACUGUUUCGGCUAGGGGGUCAUCCCGACUUACCAACCCGAUGCAAACUACGAAUACCGAAGAAUGUUAUCACGGGAGACACACGGCGGGUGCUAACGUCCGUCGUGAAGAGGGAAACAACCCAGACCGCCAGCUAAGGUCCCAAAGUCAUGGUUAAGUGGGAAACGAUGUGGGAAGGCACAGACAGCCAGGAUGUUGGCUUAGAAGCAGCCAUCAUUUAAAGAAAGCGUAAUAGCUCACUGGUCGAGUCGGCCUGCGCGGAAGAUGUAACGGGGCUAAACCAUGCACCGAAGCUGCGGCAGCGACACGAUGUGUUGUUGGGUAGGGGAGCGUUCUGUAAGCCUGCGAAGGUGACCUGUGAGGGUUGCUGGAGGUAUCAGAAGUGCGAAUGCUGACAUAAGUAACGAUAAAGCGGGUGAAAAGCCCGCUCGCCGGAAGACCAAGGGUUCCUGUCCAACGUUAAUCGGGGCAGGGUGAGUCGACCCCUAAGGCGAGGCCGAAAGGCGUAGUCGAUGGGAAACAGGUUAAUAUUCCUGUACUUGGUGUUACUGCGAAGGGGGGACGGAGAAGGCUAUGUUAGCCGGGCGACGGUUGUCCCGGUUUAAGCAUGUAGGCUGAUUAUCCAGGCAAAUCCGGAUAAUCAAGGCUGAGGUGUGAUGACGAGGCACUACGGUGCUGAAGUAACAAAUGCCCUGCUUCCAGGAAAAGCCUCUAAGCAUCAGGUAACAUCAAAUCGUACCCCAAACCGACACAGGUGGUCAGGUAGAGAAUACCAAGGCGCUUGAGAGAACUCGGGUGAAGGAACUAGGCAAAAUGGUGCCGUAACUUCGGGAGAAGGCACGCUGGUGUGUAGGUGAAGUCCCUGCGGAUGGAGCUGAGACCAGUCGAAGAUACCAGCUGGCUGCAACUGUUUAUUAAAAACACAGCACUGUGCAAACACGAAAGUGGACGUAUACGGUGUGACGCCUGCCCGGUGCCGGAAGGUUAAUUGAUGGGGUUAUCCGUAAGGAGAAGCUCUUGAUCGAAGCCCCGGUAAACGGCGGCCGUAACUAUAACGGUCCUAAGGUAGCGAAAUUCCUUGUCGGGUAAGUUCCGACCUGCACGAAUGGCGUAAUGAUGGCCAGGCUGUCUCCACCCGAGACUCAGUGAAAUUGAACUCGCUGUGAAGAUGCAGUGUACCCGCGGCAAGACGGAAAGACCCCGUGAACCUUUACUAUAGCUUGACACUGAACAUUGAGCCUUGAUGUGUAGGAUAGGUGGGAGGCUUUGAAGCGUGGACGCCAGUCUGCGUGGAGCCAACCUUGAAAUACCACCCUUUAAUGUUUGAUGUUCUAACGUUGGCCCCUUAUCGGGGUUGCGGACAGUGUCUGGUGGGUAGUUUGACUGGGGCGGUCUCCUCCCAAAGCGUAACGGAGGAGCACGAAGGUUAGCUAAUCCUGGUCGGACAUCAGGAGGUUAGUGCAAUGGCAUAAGCUAGCUUGACUGCGAGCGUGACGGCGCGAGCAGGUGCGAAAGCAGGUCAUAGUGAUCCGGUGGUUCUGAAUGGAAGGGCCAUCGCUCAACGGAUAAAAGGUACUCCGGGGAUAACAGGCUGAUACCGCCCAAGAGUUCAUAUCGACGGCGGUGUUUGGCACCUCGAUGUCGGCUCAUCACAUCCUGGGGCUGAAGUAGGUCCCAAGGGUAUGGCUGUUCGCCAUUUAAAGUGGUACGCGAGCUGGGUUUAGAACGUCGUGAGACAGUUCGGUCCCUAUCUGCCGUGGGCGCUGGAGAAUUGAGGGGGGCUGCUCCUAGUACGAGAGGACCGGAGUGGACGCAUCACUGGUGUUCGGGUUGUCAUGCCAAUGGCACUGCCCGGUAGCUAAAUGCGGAAGAGAUAAGUGCUGAAAGCAUCUAAGCACGAAACUUGCCCCGAGAUGAGUUCUCCCUGAGACUUUAAGUCUCCUGAAGGAACGUUGAAGACGACGACGUUGAUAGGCCGGGUGUGUAAGCGCAGCGAUGCGUUGAGCUAACCGGUACUAAUGAACCGUGAGGCUUAACCUUACAACGCCGAAG
rnacentral:rRNA from 2 species